UCGAGGAUCUUCGGCAAUGGGCGCAAGCCUGACCGAGCGACGCCGCGUGUGCGAUGAAGGCCUUCGGGUUGUAAAGCACUGUCGAGGGGGAGGAAGCCGCAAGGUUGACCUAUCCCUGGAGGAAGCACGGGCUAAGUUCGUGCCAGCAGCCGCGGUAAGACGAACCGUGCAAACGUUGUUCGGAAUCACUGGGCUUAAAGGGCGCGUAGGCGGGCCAUCAAGUCCGGGGUGAAAUCCCCCAGCUUAACUGGGGAAGUGCCCUGGAUACUGGUGGCCUCGAGGAGGGUAGGGGCAUCUGGAACGUUGGGUGGAGCGGUGAAAUGCGUUGAUAUCCAACGGAACUCCGGUGGCGAAAGCGAGGUGCUGGACCCUUUCUGACGCUGAUGCGCGAAAGCCAGGGGAGCAAACGG
rnacentral:rRNA from 1 species